rnacentral:lncRNA from 1 species
GUGGGCAUGACUUUAGACAUGUUUUUACAUCUACUUUUCUGUAUUUUCCAAAUGCUGUCAAAAUCAGAACCUUAAACCACAUUGGGCCAUUGACACUUGAAAGGUGUCAGUCUGAACUGGGAUGUGAUUUAAAUUUAAAAAGCAGAUGAGAUUUUAAAGACUUCAUACAAGCUAUAAAUGUAAAAUAUCUUAUUAGUAUUUUUAUACUGAAUACCUGUUAAAACAAUAUUUUAGAUGUAUCAGAUUAAAUAUAUUUUAAAAAUUUCACUUUUUUUUUACUGUUUUCAAUGUGGCUGCUAAUGUUGUGUAAAAGGUUAGGUAUGGUCAGCAAGAAAAUUCAAGUAAUUUAAAUCAAAUUAAAUUUAUAAUCCUUCUCCUUAAAAAUUAGCUUCAUUAUUUUAUAAGGAAAAUACAUAGAAAAAUCUUGUUAGGGUUUACAAAGAUGCAGGCUCCUAUCUUUUUGGUUUUAUCAAAUCCUAAAACCUGUUAAAAGAAAAUAUUUUGACCAGGUGCGGUGGCUCAUGCCUGUAAUCCCAGCAGCUGGGGGGGCUGAAGCGGGUGGAUCACGAGGUCAGGAGAUCUAAACCAUCCUGGCUAACACGGUGAAAACCCAUCUCCACUAAAAAUACAAAAAAUUAGCUGGGCGUAGUUGCACACGCCUGUAGUCCCAGCUACUCAGGAAGCUGAGGCAGGAGAAUGCCAUGAACCCGGGAGGUGGAACUUGGACUUUAGGAAAAGGCAGCUAGUUCUCUCAGAGGAGCUUUGAUUUUUCUUUGCUUUCAUUGGGGAAUCCACAGGGCCCCUCAGCAGCACUACUGGACACCCUUUCCAGGCUUGCCAUCGCCAUUGACGGCCUCUAAGACACUGUCUCAACCUCAUCUGCACCAGUGGGAGGCGAGUCCAAGGUGUGAGAACACGGCUCCACAUUGGACUUGCCUUUGCCGUCGUUGUUGCCUUUCCUAGAGAGUCCCUGCGAGUCCCAUGAUGAAGGGAGGCAGUGAGGGCAAGAGCCGGCUGUCGUUCGCGGACAUCCGCCUAUGCGGUCUCAGUUGAAAUUGUGGGACCCAUCCACUCCUCACUAGAUUGUAUCCUCAACCCUAUCUGACCUUAUUGCUGCUCACACUCUGUGUCCCAGGAUGAAAUCUCAAGAUGAUGGAGGAGUGCCCCCUUUGACCUGAAGCACCUGCUCAGCUAGGAACCAAAUUCAAGGGGGAGGUGACUUGGACGCUGGCAAGUCUCGACCCGCCCCCCAAUAUACUGGGGAUUCAUGAUCCACAGAAAAAUAGAGAACACAGCCCUGCGACUAAAGCAAAGCCACACAGACAAGCCAUCAAAAUGUUGAGAGACUCAAAUAAAGAAGCACUGAAAUGUGUUAGCCACAUUCUUUUAAGCAGACUCCAUUUGCAGGAACACACACACACAAAGACACAAUACCACACAAACACAUGCAGAAAUCUGACACUCAUAACACUCCCACAGAAACACACAGCCCGGCAGCUUCUGAGGCUGUGUGUUUCUGUAGGAAGCCCCACCUUGGAGAGAGCAACCCCAGGGAACAGAGGCAGGCUCUAACUAAAAAUAUCAUGGGGGCAAGUUUCAUAAAGACUCACUCCUAGAACUCCUGGGCAGGCCUAAGGAAUCCUGCAGAUGAUUUUGGAUCCACAGGGAUUUUGUAGUUUAUUCCUGGGGCUCUGCUUGACAUUUCUUCAGGCUCACUCACAUCUUUCUCUCCUAGGAUCAUGGGAUUAUUCCAUGUAUCCCACAGAGAAGACAGGUGAGAGUCCACCAGCGCACCUCCACAGAGGUCUCUUUCUCCACAAGCUGCAGGGACUUGUCUCUUGCCAACAGUGACAUUCCUUGUGACACUUGCCAGAACUCAAAAUCAGGCAUGGUGCCCUGAGUCUAGCUCAUGCACAUUCGUGAGGCAGGCUCUGGCAUCCGGCUGUCAGAGCUGUCAGCCUGACUAAGCAGAGGAAAAUGCUGCAAGCAGAGCCGGCCUUGUAUCAGGAAAAAGGAUGCCUAUGAAAACCCACUGCGAGACCCUAAAAGUCUCAAACUCAGGGCCUCUUUGGGCCAUCUCCAUGGUCAGGUCCCACUGGAGGAGGAGGUGUUUCAAGACUGUGAGGUGGUCGCUGGAAACUGCUCUUCUGACUCUAUUCCUGAAAGAGGCUGUGUGCAAGAAUCAGGUCCCAUGGAGAUUGGAAUAGAGUCUCUUGUGUUGUUGGGGUUCUUUGGGUGAUAGAAUUAUACUUGAAACCCCAGAGGUGGGCAUCACUAAAAGAUGCCCGAGCUUGACCUCAUGGCAUCCCUUCAUCCUGGGUCUCACAGGGGCUGUCUGGAAAAGUCAGGAACCAUCACAGAGGAAAGUCCAAGGUGAAGCAGUUGUCUCACACCACAGACUGGUCUCUCCUUGGUGCAGAUGAGGUUGACACAGUGACUCAGAGGCUGUCUGUGGUGAUAGUAAGCCUGAAAAUUGUGUUCAGCAGUGCUGUAGUGCUGUUAAGGGUCAUUGUAGAUUUUUCAUGAAAGCAAGGAAAAAACAAGGCUUGCCUGAGGAAAUGAGCUGCCUUGUGCUGGAGUCCAAACUUGGACUGAACUCUUAUGGGUAAAGAUAAGGUAGAGACCAUGUCUCAGAGGUCAUCUUUGAUGAUGCCAAGCCUGAAAAUGAUAUCCAGUAGAGCUGUUGAAGGACACUGUAGAUUGUCCAUAAAAGCAAAGAAAAAUCAAGGUUCACCUGAUAGAAUGAGCUGCAUUGACCUGGAGUUUAAGCAAUGUUCAAUGCUUCCUGUUAGAGGUCCCAAAAGCCUCCUGCAAAUUGCAAACAACCUCAGCCCCCAUAACGAGACAACGACUCAAAACUUGGAGCACCGCCAGACUCCUCAAAGUCCCUUUUGCUCUUUGAAAUCUCUGGAAGCAAAAUAAUCUUUGGCAAGAGGCAGUCCCAUCCAGCCACAGCCCAAUGAAAGAACCCCCACUCAACGAGAAGACCAUGUAGAUGAAAAAAAUCAGAGACUAGAUUGCCAGGCAAAAGCCAGACAGGGCUGCCUGCUUCUCAUCCUACAGGAAUCAUGCGGAAUGCCAAGAGAAGUGAAAAAAAAAAGAGUUUCCUUGUUGGCAGCUGUAAGGGAAUUUACAGUUUUAAAGGUAUCAAAGCUGCCCAGUCAUUAAAUUGUGACAGUGUUUAGAAGGAAACACUCAGGCAAUGGAUUCCCAUUAGGGUCAUUCUCUGUGAACUGAGAAACGUUUACUGUGUCAUUGAGCCAGACACAGGAAAACCUGCACCAACAAGAAACAUGGACAUCAGAGAAAGAAGAGUCAAGUGUGGAGGCCAUAUCCCACCAAGCAUCAAUCCAUUUCAUUCCCAUUUGGCUCCCGGUGAAGUUGUGGGAUCUCAUCCAAUUCCCACCAGAUUGUAUCCUCACCCCUGUCUGACCUUAUUGCUGCUCACACUCUAUGUCCCAAAAUGAAAACCCAAGUUGAUGGAGUAUUGCCCCCUCAUGAUGUGAAGAAACUGCUUGGCUGGGACCUGAAUUUGAGGUGAAGUUGCUGGACCCCAUUUUCCAUUCAGCAGAUUGUAUCCUCACCACAGCUGACCUUAUUGCUGCUCAGACUCUAUGUUCCAGGAUAAAAUCACAAGAAGAUGUAGUAGUGCCCCCUCAUGAUGUGAAGCAUGUUCACAGCUGGGAACCAAAUUCGAGGUUAAUCUAAGUGGCCUUGCAGACAGAUCUGCUAGUGUCUCUCCCUGCGUUGUCCUCAAGAUGAUGGAAACACUGAGAGAUACCUGGUUUUUGGUGUGGUGUGCUACUCUUCUGGAAGAGUGGUUUUUAGUGCAGGGGGAGGUGAUUUGGACGCUGGCGGGUCUUGGCCCACCUCCAAAUUCACUGCGGAUUCAUGAUCCACAGAAAAAUAACACGGAGCCAUGCAGCCCAAGCAUAGCCACACAGACAGGCCACCAAAAUGUAGUGAGGCUAAAAACAAGAAGCACUGAAGUGUGUUAGCCCCAUUCCUUUAAGCAGACUCCACUUACAGGCACACACACACACACACAAUGCCACACACACUCGAUGUCAAACACUCACAACAUGCCCACAGAAACACACAGCAUGGCAGAUCCUGAGGUUGCAUAGUUCUGCAGGAGGCCCCACCUGGGAGACAGCAACCCCAGGGAACACAGGCAGGCUGUACCUAGAAAUCACAUUGGGGCAAGUUUCAAAGCCCAUACAACUUAUAGGCUGGCCUGAGGAAUUCUGCAGAUCCUUUGGGAUCCUUAGGGAUUUUGCAGUUUAUUUCUGGGGCUGUGGUUGAUGUUUCUUCAGGCUGACUCCCACAAGCUCUCUGACCUUGGUUGAUGUUUCUUCAGGCUGGCUCACAUCUGCCCUCUCAUAGUAUCAUGGGACUAUCCUGUGGAAUCCACAGAAAAGACAGGGGAGAGUCCACUGUCAAUGCACCUCCAAGCAGAUCUCCUUUUCUGCCAAGCCACAGGGACUUUUUGCUAGGCAACAGUGACAUUCAUUGUGAGGCUAGCCAGAAUUCACCAUCAGGCCUGGUGCCCUGAGAAUAGUACAUGCACAUUCUUCAGGCAGGUUCAAGAACCCAGCUGUCAGAGCUGCCAGCCUGCCUAGGCAGAAGAAAAUGCACAGGCAAAGCUGGCCUCACAUCGGGAAAAUGGCUACCUGUGAAAACCCACUGUGACACCCUAAACGUCUUGACCUUAGGGUCCCAUGGGCAGUCUCCACGGUCUCCUCCCGCUGGAGGAGUAGGCAUUUCAAGACUGUUAGGUGGUCGCUGGAAACUGCUCUUCUGACUCCAUUCCUGAAAGAGAAUGUGUGUGUACAAUACCCCAAUCCCAUGGGGAUUGGGAUAUAGUCUGUUGUGUUGUUCAGUGUUCUUUGGGUGAUAGAAGACCCCAGAGGCAGGUGUCAGCAAAAGCUGGCCAGACCCUUAAUCUCACUGCCUCCCUUCAUCCUGGGCCUCACAGGUGCUCUCCCAGAUAAUCAAGAACCAAAAGAAAGGCAAGUCGAUGUUGGAGACAUGUUCUCACACUUUGAACUGGCCUGUCAUGGGUGCAGAUGAGGUUAAGACAGUGUCUCAGAGGCGGUCUGUGGAGAUUGCUACCCUUAGGGUAUCCAGUAGUGUUGAUGUAAGAGCACUGUGGAUUCCUAAUGACAGGAGAAAAAAAUCACUUGAGAGAAUUGUUGGGAAACCAGCCCCACAAUGCCCCGUGGGUACCCUAAAUCCAACAGAGACAAAUAAUUAGAAAGAGACAGAAUGAGAGUUUAAAAGGCAGGUCCAGGGGACCAGAGAAUUGGAGGCUUGCUCAUGGCCUGGAGCUCUCAGCCACCACCCAAUUUAUUGCUUUACAAGCUCUUUGUUCUUAGGGCAGAUCUGAGGGGUAGGAAGGGCUGAGGGAAAGGAUUAAUCAGUGAGGGAGAACCCGUGAGUCAUUCAAUAAGAUGUAUAGCAGUAGCAGUUUCUGUGAAUUUCCUCUAGCAAAGGCGUGUGUCUAAACUACUUAAUAUAUUUAACUUAUCAGGACUGAAAUGGAUGGGAGAAGGCUUCAGGAGAAGCCAAGAUGUUUGAUUAUACUCCACUGCUUCAAGAGAGUGUUAUUUCCCUGAGCAACCUGUGGCAGCCCGCUGAGCUGUUAUGCUCUCUGGGCAUAAGGACAUGAAGGCAAUAAGGAGACUUUUCUCCUCAGAGGCCACCCAUGGGAGUGACUCCCCAUGGGAGUCUCACACCGGAGAGAUCAACUCAUUUGGCAUCCCAGAAACUCUCUUUCCCACAUGUCCCACUUUUUUGUCUCCAUUUUUUUAAAUUAAUAACCACCAUUGCUAUCAUAGCUCAUUCACGGUGUCUAUCUACUCUCCCAAGAUGCUGUCUGCAUCAGUAGGUUAAAAAAAAAACAGCAUAAAAAGACACACACCAAAGUAAUAUUUGCAAUUGAUGAUCCACCUAUGGUUUUAAUUCACUUUAAAGGAUUAGUGUUAAAAAGGCCCUCAGUGGUUCCAGCAAGAAUAUCAGCUCUAGGCAACAGGAUGGGAUGAGCCUGAGAUGCGGCAAAAAGUUGUUUUUUCAGUUUAGCAGGAUCUAAUGUUAAAUUAUCUUCUUCUCCUGGUAGGUGAUGUCUAAUCAUCUCCCAGUGGUGUUCAGUGAUAUUAUAAGAGCUAGGAGGAAUACGAAAUCAGAAGUAUUCCAAUCACAUUGCAUUUGAAUUCUAUGCUCCAAGUUCAUAAUCCGAUCUCCCAUUCAGAUUACUGUCUGAUGAUCAUUAAUUUGAUUUGCCAAUUUUUGAUCUAUUUGGCUUUGGGAAUUCCAAAGCUUGGAAGAAUUUUUCUGACAACUAUGCACAGCGCUCGCAGGUUGAAUAGAAGAGUGCAAAGCAAAGCCAGCAGCAGCAGCUAUAGCUGUGACAGAUUUAAGACCCAUGAUG